AUGCGUGCUGUCCUGACCUUGGGUAACUCAGCUGCCCCGUCUCCCAGGUGCCUCUUCUCUCAGGUCCCAGGUGCAAGUGCUACGUGGUCUUCGACAUGCAGCCCAGAUUCAGCAUCUCCACGCACACCCUCGGCGGCAUGGAUUUCUCAGAGCCCCGGACUCGCUCACCUUGGACUCGCACUGCACCGGCUGGCGGCUCUUCUCCCUCCCCCCCCCAAGAAUGGGAGGAGCUCCGAGGCAGGAGAGGACCCAGCCCGCCCACCUGGCUCUUAUCUCCAGUAUCCACUCCGAUUGUGGAUCUUUGACCUUCACCCUGGAUGUGUUUGUCUCUGGCUCCCUGGGACCUCUAGUCACGGUGCCUCCUCUUCUCUGAGCACAAUUCUUCUGGGACCUUCUUCUCCUCUUCUGUAGGCUCAGGGGUGAGUCUGGAAGAGAAGCUGGUAUACCCCGUUCCUGUCCUACAUACUCCUGUCUAUCUCAGGACAGCACCCCUGCUCCUCCAAGGAGUUUCUCCUUCCUUGCUGGUCAUGGAACCUCUCAGAAGCAAGGCAAGAGCAGCUGAUGAAGGGGUCACAGCCACCGAGAGGAGGCCAGUGGGUGGAAUUCGCAGCAACCGCAGCUCUGAGGUUUGGAAGACAAACAACUUCUGUUUCAGACAAAUGGGAGUGUCAGGUUCUUCCAGCCUGAUGAGAUUACAGCUCAGAGGAUCACGAGGAAUCGAUUCCUCCAGAAGAGGAAAAACACAGCUGGCACAGGAGCUCUGCAGAGCCUUCUGCUAAAGGUAACGCGGGGUCACAGGUUGCGAGGUUCCAGGUGAGGAAGAGAUUAGGGCACGUGCAUCAAGCCCCAGAUACGGGAAGUGGUGGAUCCAGGGUACGUCGUGAACAUUUGGUGAUGGAAGCAUGACUGGCGUUUCAGAGGCACCAGCUUCUGGGUCCCUUCUGUCUGUCCAGACAAGGCAGAGGAGACAGGAGGAGUUCAGA
rnacentral:lncRNA from 1 species